AGCAGCCGCGGUAAUUCCAGCUCCAAUAGCGUAUAUUAAAGUUGUUGCAGUUAAAAAGCUCGUAGUUGAAUUUCGAGAUCAGUACGCUGGUCGUGCCUUUGGUAUGCACUGGUGUCACUGGUUUCUCCCUUCUGAAGAACUGUCAUGCCAUUCAGUUGGUGUGGCGGGGAAUCAGGAACUGUUACUUUGAAAAAAUUAGAGUGUUUAAAGCAGGCUCGCGCUUGAAUACAUUAGCAUGGAAUAAUGAAAUAGGACGUUUGACCCUAUUUUGUUGGUUUCUAGGAUCGACGUAAUGAUUAAUAGGGAUAGUUGGGGGCAUUAGUAUUCAAUUGUCAGAGGUGAAAUUCUUGGAUUUAUUGAAGACUAAACUACUGCGAAAGCAUUUGCCUAAGGAUGUUUUCAUUAAUACAAGAACGAAAGUUAGGGGAUCGAAGACGAUCAGAUACCGUCGUAGUCUUAACCAUAAACUAUGCCGACUAGGGAUCGGAUGAUGUUAAUUUUUAAUGACUCU
rnacentral:rRNA from 1 species